GCAAGAGCAGUUUGAGAAGUCGGCAGCUGGGAGAGCGGCAAUCAAGCAGAUGGCAGCAAUGAAGCAAUCCAGUGUCUCUGACAAAGGAGAACCGGUUCUCAAGUGGCAGAUGGGAAUGAAUACUAGCUGAUUUGGGGAUCGACCAUGAUCGUGUAAAUAAUAUUUGUGAUUUGCUUUUGGGUUGCAUUCUGCUCAGCGAAAGUACAGAUACUCCGAGCAAAUUCACUUGAGAAAUUUAAUGCGGAGACGUUUUCUUAUUUGGGGAUAAUGUAAUGUCUGUCUGUCUCUUUGUAUUUUUUUUUUCUCGAAGCAGCAAAAAGUCAUUAUGUAUCCAUAGAUCAAGUCAAGUGUAAAAACAGGAUGGGAUUGUCCUGUAAAUACCCAUUAUAUGACAAUAAAUAUAUCUGGAACUGCACUGGGCUUUUAUCUUUCUUCUCAGUAGAAACCUAGUGUCACAAGUGAAUUAUCAUUCUUACUUUCUGGAUAUAUUGGCAUCUCUGCUCGGUAUGUAGUUAAGUGUGGUUCUACAGUGAGAAAGAAAAAAAAAAAAAAUCUGUUUUCAAGGGCCAUGGAGGCAUU